rnacentral:tRNA from 1 species
CGGGGUGUGGCUCAGCCCGGUGUAGAGCGCACGGUUCGGGUCCGUGAGGUCGGCGGUUCAAAUCCGCCCACCCCGACAA